CUGGCUCAGGAUGAACGCUGGCGGCGUGCUUAACACAUGCAAGUCGAACGAAGCACCUGGUCACGAUCCCUUCGGGGUGACGACCUUGUGACUGAGUGGCGGACGGGUGAGUAACGCGUGGGAAACCUGCCAUGUACUGGGGGAUAACAGUUGGAAACGACUGCUAAUACCGCAUAAAACUGUCGGAUCGCAUGAUCUGAUAGCCAAAACUCCGGUGGUACAUGAUGGUCCCGCGUCUGAUUAGGCAGUUGGCGGGGUAACGGCCCACCAAACCGACGAUCAGUAGCCGACCUGAGAGGGUGACCAGCCACAUUGGGACUGAGACACGGCCCAGACUCCUACGGGAGGCAGCAGUGGGGAAUAUUGCACAAUGGAGGAAACUCUGAUGCAGCCGACGCCGCGUGAGCGAUGAAGUAUUUCGGUAUGUAAAGCUCUAUCAGCAGGGAAGAUAAUGACGGUACCUGACUAAGAAGCACCGGCUAAAUACGUGCCAGCCGCCGC
rnacentral:rRNA from 1 species